rnacentral:tRNA from 2 species
GGAGAGGUGGCCGAGUGGCCGAAGGCGCUCCCCUGCUAAGGGAGUAACUGGUUUAUCCCGGUUCGAGGGUUCGAAUCCCUCCCUCUCCGCCA